rnacentral:rRNA from 1 species
UACCAGCACCCCGAGUGGUCGGGACGUUUAUUGGGCCUAAAGCAUCCGUAGCCGGGUUCUACGAGUCUUCCGUUAAAUCCAACUGCUUAACAGGUGGGCUGCGGAAGAUACUAUAGAGCUAGGAGGCGGGAGAGGCAAGCGGUACUCGAUGGGUAGGGGUAAAAAUCCGUUGAUCCAUUGAAGACCACCAGUGGCGAAGGCGGCUUGCCAGAACGCGCUCGACGGUGAGGGAUGAAAGCUGGGGGAGCAAACCGG